GAUGAACGCUAGCGGCAGGCCUAAUACAUGCAAGUCGAGGGGUAGUGGUUGCUUGCAGCCAUGAGACCGGCGCACGGGUGCGUAACGCGUAUGCAACCUACCUUCAUCUGGGGGAUAGCCCGGAGAAAUCCGGAUUAAUACCGCAUAAAAUCACAGUACGGCAUCGUACAAUGAUCAAACAUUUAUGGGAUGGAGAUGGGCAUGCGUGUCAUUAGUUAGUUGGCGGGGUAACGGCCCACCAAGACCGCGAUGACUAGGGGAUCUGAGAGGAUGACCCCCCAAACUGGUACUGAGACACGGACCAGACUCCUACGGGAGGCAGCAGUAAGGAAUAUUGGUCAAUGGGCGCAAGCCUGAACCAGCCAUGCCGCGUGCAGGAAGACGGCCCUCUGGGUUGUAAACUGCUUUUAUUCGGGAAUAAACCUGCUUACGUGUAAGUAGCUGAAUGUACCGAAGGAAUAAGGAUCGGCUAACUCCGUGCCAGCAGCCGCCGUAAUAC
rnacentral:rRNA from 1 species